UGGGGAAUAUUGGACAAUGGGCGCAAGCCUGAUCCAGCAAUGCCGCGUGAGUGAUGAAGGCCUUCGGGUCGUAAAGCUCUUUUACCAGGGAUGAUAAUGACAGUACCUGGAGAAUAAGCUCCGGCUAACUCCGUGCCAGCAGCCGCGGUAAUACGGAGGGAGCUAGCGUUGUUCGGAAUUACUGGGCGUAAAGCGCGCGUAGGCGGCGACACAAGUCAGAGGUGAAAGCCCGGGGCUCAACCCCGGAACUGCCUUUGAAACUAGGUUGCUAGAAUCUUGGAGAGGUCAGUGGAAUUCCGAGUGUAGAGGUGAAAUUCGUAGAUAUUCGGAAGAACACCAGUGGCGAAGGCGACUGACUGGACAAGUAUUGACGCUGAGGUGCGAAAGCGUGGGGAGCAAACA
rnacentral:rRNA from 1 species